rnacentral:rRNA from 1 species
UAGAGUUUGAUCCUGGCUCAGGAUGAACGCUGGCGGCGCGCCUAACACAUGCAAGUCGAACGGCACCCAUCUUCGGAUGGAAGCGAGUGGCGAACGGCUGAGUAACACGUGGAGAACCUGCCCCCUCCCCCGGGAUAGCCGCCCGAAAGGACGGGUAAUACCGGAUACCCCGGGGUGCCGCAUGGCACCCCGGCUAAAGCCCCGACGGGAGGGGAUGGCUCCGCGGCCCAUCAGGUAGACGGCGGGGUGACGGCCCACCGUGCCGACAACGGGUAGCCGGGUUGAGAGACCGACCGGCCAGAUUGGGACUGAGACACGGCCCAGACUCCUACGGGAGGCAGCAGUGGGGAAUCUUGCGCAAUGGGGGGAACCCUGACGCAGCGACGCCGCGUGCGGGACGGAGGCCUUCGGGUCGUAAACCGCUUUCAGCAGGGAAGAGUCAAGACUGUACCUGCAGAAGAAGCCCCGGCUAACUACGUGCCAGCAGCCGCGGUAAUACGUAGGGGGCGAGCGUUAUCCGGAUUCAUUGGGCGUAAAGCGCGCGUAGGCGGCCCGGCAGGCCGGGGGUCGAAGCGGGGGGCUCAACCCCCCGAAGCCCCCGGAACCUCCGCGGCUUGGGUCCGGUAGGGGAGGGUGGAACACCCGGUGUAGCGGUGGAAUGCGCAGAUAUCGGGUGGAACACCGGUGGCGAAGGCGGCCCUCUGGGCCGAGACCGACGCUGAGGCGCGAAAGCUGGGGGAGCGAACAGGAUUAGAUACCCUGGUAGUCCCAGCCGUAAACGAUGGACGCUAGGUGUGGGGGGACGAUCCCCCCGUGCCGCAGCCAACGCAUUAAGCGUCCCGCCUGGGGAGUACGGCCGCAAGGCUAAAACUCA